GCGGUCGUGGCGAAGUGGUUAACGCAUCGGUUUGUGGAUCCGACAUUCGAGGGUUCAAUUCCCUUCGACCGCCCCA
rnacentral:tRNA from 1 species